rnacentral:rRNA from 1 species
UACAGAGGGGGCAAGCGUUGUUCGGAAUUACUGGGCGUAAAGGGCGCGUAGGCGGCCUGUUAAGUCGAACGUGAAAUCCCCGGGCUCAACCCGGGAACUGCGUCCGAUACUGGCAGGCUUGAAUUCGGGAGAGGGAUGUGGAAUUCCAGGUGUAGCGGUGAAAUGCGUAGAUAUCUGGAGGAACACCGGUGGCGAAGGCGGCAUCC